GGGUCUGUAGCUCAGCUGGUUAGAGCACCGUCUUGAUAAGGCGGGGGUCGUUGGUUCGAAUCCAACCAGACCCACCA
rnacentral:tRNA from 1 species